CGGGAAAAGCUCAAAUUUGAAAUCUGGCGGUUCUGCCGUCCGAGUUGUAUUCUGGAGAAGCGCUUUCUGUGCCGGACCGUGUACAAGUCCCUUGGAACAGGGCGUCGUAGAGGGUGAGAA
rnacentral:rRNA from 1 species